UCAAAUGACGGGCGAUUUUGUGGGCAGCCAACGAUUUUCCACGGCAUGGCAAGCCCACAAUUGUGACUAUCAGUGGAGCCCGUAGUGGACAUGGCGUCUCUGCGGCCGAGAGGCUAGAUGAGCCAAUAUCUGAAAGAAUGAAAGUAUUUAUUUUGAGUGUGCUUCAUCUAUGCUAAAAUUGGAUCAUUCACUUGGAACUUGAAAUAUAGAUAAUGUGAGCACGGGGCUAAGGAGGUUCUAAGGUUCCUGAUGUGAAAAGGAGCCGGACAUUUUGCUGGUAGGAGACAUCAUUUAAAAUUGGAGUUUUUAGCAGCGCCACCUUAUAUUACCGAUGAUGAAUGAUAG